rnacentral:rRNA from 1 species
AUUGAACGCUGGCGGCAUGCCUUACACAUGCAAGUCGAACGGCAGCACGGGAGCAAUCCUGGUGGCGAGUGGCGAACGGGUGAGUAAUAUAUCGGAACGUGCCCAGUCGUGGGGGAUAACGUAGCGAAAGCUACGCUAAUACCGCAUACGAUCUAUGGAUGAAAGCGGGGGAUCGCAAGACCUCGCGCGAUUGGAGCGGCCGAUAUCAGAUUAGGUAGUUGGUGAGGUAAAGGCUCACCAAGCCGACGAUCUGUAGCUGGUCUGAGAGGACGACCAGCCACACUGGGACUGAGACACGGCCCAGACUCCCACGGGAGGCAGCAGU